rnacentral:rRNA from 1 species
AUUGAACGCUGGCGGCAUGCCUUACACAUGCAAGUCGAACGGUAACAGGUCUUCGGAUGCUGACGAGUGGCGAACGGGUGAGUAAUACAUCGGAACGUGCCUAGUAGUGGGGGAUAACUACUCGAAAGAGUGGCUAAUACCGCAUGAGAUCUACGGAUGAAAGCAGGGGAUCGCAAGACCUGGUGCUACUAGAGCGGACGAUGGCAGAUUAGGUAGUUGGUGGGAUAAAAGCUUACCAAGCCGACGAUCUGUAGCUGGUCUGAGAGGACGAUCAGCCACACUGGGACUGAGACACGGCCCAGACUCCUACGGGAGGCAGCAGUGGGGAAUUUUGGACAAUGGGCGCAAGCCUGAUCCAGCAAUGCCGCGUGCAGGAUGAAGGCCUUCGGGUUGUAAACUGCUUUUGUACGGAACGAAAAGCCCUGGGUUAAUACCCUGGGGUCAUGACGGUACCGUAAGAAUAAGCACCGGCUAACUACGUGCCAGCCGCCGCGGUAAGAC